ensembl:snRNA U6 U6 spliceosomal RNA
GUAAUCUCUUUAGCAGCACAUAUACUAAAAUUGGAAUGAUACAGAUAUUAACAUGGUUCCUAUACUAGGAUGAUACACAAAUUCGAAAAGUGUUCUAUAUUUUU